GCGCGGGAAGCCUGGGUCUCUGCAUUUGGGUGGAUGCUGGGUAGACUAGCGGUUUACAAGAAAAGUGCUUUAUGAAGAACACUUUAUAAAGUGAUGGUGAUGAACGCUUUCAAAAUAUUUCAAAGAACUGAGCCAAGAAGGUAUUUAGAUAUCUGAGAGGGAAGCUUCAAAUGCGAAGACGUCAAUCAUAUGGCUUUGCAACUCUCUUCUGAUGAAAAUGACAUCUGCGGUAUUUGCAGACAGGCCAGCCGUCUGGGGUCUUGUUCUCUGUAGAUUCAUCCAAGUUGUCGCAUGUGUAACAGUCUGUACCUUCUUUAUUGCUGAGCAGCAUUCCCAGCCACGUGGCUUGCAGAAUCUUAGUUCCCGGACCAGGGAUUGAACCCGGGGCGCCGGCCAUGAAUGUGCCCGAGUCCUAACCACUGGACCCCGGGGAAUUCCCAGAAACUGACAGAAUGUUUUCCAGAGCUGCUGUCCCAUUUCACUUUCCCAUCCACGGUGUAUGAGUGAUCUGGUUUCUCUGCAGCCUCUCCAGCAUUUGGUGUUGUCACUAUUUUCAUUGUAUAGUGAUAUCAUGUGGUUUUAAUUUGCAUUUCCCUGACGGCUAAUGAUGUUGAACAUCUUUUCAUGUAUUUGCCAUCUGUAUAUCCUCUUUGGGGAAAUGUCUGCUUAGGUCUUUUGCCCACAUUUAACCACUUUUUUAAAGUUAACUCUAUCAAUAGAAAAUCCAGCCGUAUGAGUUACAAAGCCAUAGGAAGCACCAUUUUACACUUGUUAGCAGCUUGUGGGGGGCUAGGCAGGGGGUCAAGAAUAUAUGCUGUGUGGGGCUUCCCUGGUGGCACAGUGGUUAAGCAUCUGCCUGCCAAUACAGGGGACACGGGUUCGAGCCCUGGUCCGGGAAGAUCCCGCAUGCCGCGGAGCAACUAAGCCCGUGCGCCACAACUACUGAGCCCGCGUGCCACAACUACUGAAGCCCGCACGCCUAGAGCCCGUGCUCCACAACAAGAGAGGCCACCACAAUGAGAAGCCCGCGCACCACAACGAAGAGUAGCCCCCGCUCGCCACAACUAGAGAAAGCCCGAGUGCAGCAACGAAGACCCA